GGCUGCCGGGAAUACUGCAAAGCUAGGGAGUGGGAGAGGUAGACGGUACUCCGUAGGAAGGGGUAAAAUCCUUUGAUCUAUGGAUGACCACCUGUGGCGAAGGCGGUCUACCAGAACACGUUCGACGGUGAGGGAUGAAAGCUGGGGGAGCAAACCGGAUUAGAUACCCGGGUAGUCCCAGCUGUAAACUAUGCAAACUCAGUGAUGCAUUGGCUUGUGGCCAGUGCAGUGCCGCAGGGAAGCCGUUAAGUUUGCCGCCUGGGAAGUACGUACGCAAGUAUGAAACUUAAAGGAAUUGGCGGGGGAGCACCACAAGGGGUGAAGCCUGCGGUUCAAUUGGAGUCAACGCCAGAAAUCUUACCCGGAGAGACAGCAGGAUGAAGGUCAAGCUGAAGACUUUACCAGACAAGCUGAGAAGUGGUGCAUGGCCGUCGCCAGCUCGUGCCGUGAGGUGUCCUGUUAAGUCAGGUAACGAGCGAGAUCCUUGCCUCUAGUUGCCACCAUUACUCUCAGGAGUAGUGGGGCGAAUUAGCGGGACUGCCGUAGUUAAUACGGAGGAAGGAGAGGGCCACGGCA
rnacentral:rRNA from 1 species